AUUGAACGCUGGCGGCAUGCUUUACACAUGCAAGUCGAACGGCAGCGCGGGCUUCGGCCUGGCGGCGAGUGGCGAACGGGUGAGUAAUACAUCGGAACGUGCCCAGUAGUGGGGGAUAGCUCGGCGAAAGCCGGAUUAAUACCGCAAACGACCUGAGGGUGAAAGCGGGGGAUCUUCGGACCUCGCGCUAUUGGAGCGGCCGAUGGCAGAUUAGCUAGUUGGUGGGGUAAAGGCCUACCAAGGCGACGAUCUGUAGCUGGUCUGAGAGGACGACCAGCCACACUGGGACUGAGACACGGCCCAGACUCCUACGGGAGGCAGCAGUGGGGAAUAUUGGACAAUGGGCGAAAGCCUGAUCCAGCCAUGCCGCGUGUGUGAUGAAGGCCUUCGGGUUGUAAAGCACUUUUGGCGGGAACGAAAAGGACUGUGCCAAUACCACGGUUCGAUGACGGUACCCGCAGAAUAAGCACCGGCUAACUACGUG
rnacentral:rRNA from 1 species